rnacentral:rRNA from 1 species
UAAUUGAAGAGUUUGAUCAUGGCUCAGAUUGAACGCUGGCGGCAGGCCUAACACAUGCAAGUCGAGCGGCAGCACAGAGGAACUUGUUCCUUGGGUGGCGAGCGGCGGACGGGUGAGUAAUGCCUGGGAAAUUGCCCGGUAGAGGGGGAUAACCAUUGGAAACGAUGGCUAAUACCGCAUAACCUCGCAAGAGCAAAGCAGGGGACCUUCGGGCCUUGCGCUACCGGAUAUGCCCAGGUGGGAUUAG